rnacentral:lncRNA from 1 species
UGAAAGCUGUUUUGUUCUUGUUAUCACUGAUGUCUUUCCUUUGCCUUGUUGUGUUUCUUUUAUCUUCCAAUGGCCAUUACAGAAUUUGAAGAAUUUGAACUUUAUGAGGUAGCUAAUAAAAUAAUUAAUGCAGAUGCUUUAAUGAGAGAGGUGUGAAAUGGUUUGACCUCUUCUGUUUUAGAGUAUUUUAUAGCAUUCCAUUUUUAUAGGUGAAGAACAUAGGGGGAUUUUCCACUCCCCCGCUUCACCUGACUAGCUUUAAAAACAUAAAAACAAAACGGGAAAAUGUAGCUUUAUGUUCUACUUCUUUUUUUUUUUGAGAUGGAGUCUUGCUCUGUCGCCCAGGCUGGAGUGCAGUGGUGCAAUCUCGGCUCACUGCAACCUCCGCUUCCAGGGUUCAACCAAUUCUCUUGCCUCAGCCUCCCAAGUAGCUGGGAUUACAGGCGCCUGCCACUGCGCCCAGCUAAUUUUUGUAUUUUUAGUAGAGAAAAGGGUUUCACCAUCUUUGCCAGGCUGGUCUCUAACUCCUGACUUCGUGAUCCUCCUGCUUUGGCCUCCCAAAGUGCUGGGAUUACAGGCAUGAGUAUGUUCUAUAUUUUUACAAUUAAAAAAAAAAUUUUGUGGCUUUUCAACAAUUUUUAUUUGGAAGUAAUUUCAAAUUUAUAAAGUUGCAAGAUUAGCACAAAGCAUACUAAUGUUUUUUGAAAUACACCCAUUGUUAACAUUUUGUACCAUUUGCUUUAUCAUUUGCACUCUGUGUGUUGGGGGUCUGUGUGUGCAGUAUGCAAUAGGUUUUUCUUAAACCAUGUUAGAGUAAGUUGCAUAUAUCAAAGAAAUACCUUUUCCCACAAAUAAACUUAAGUAGUUCCCCAAAAUAAGGAUAUUCUAUAAAACCAUAGUAUAGCUAGCAGUUUUAUUAAAUUUAACCUUCCAUAUUCCAGUUUUAUCAGUUGAUUCCAUAAUGUCCUUUGUGGCACUUUGUUACUCUCGUACAUCAUCCCAUCCAGGAUCAGGUAUUUCAUUUAGCCCUCAUGUGUCUUCAGUCACAUUUAAUCUGGAACAGUUCCUCAGCUUUUGUCUUUUUUUUUUUUUUUUGACCUUGAUGUUUUUGAGGAAUAGUCUUUGUUUUAAAAUAGAGUAUUUCUCAUAUUGUCCUUUUUUUUUUUUUUUUUUGAGACAGAGCCUCGCACUGUCACUCGGGCUGGAGUGCAAUGGUGUGAUCUCGGCUCACUGCAACCUCCACUUCCUGGGUUCACACUAUUCUCCUGCCUCAGCCUCUCGAGUAGCUGGAAUUACAGGCGCACACCACCACACCCGGCUUAUUUUUUGUAUUUUUAGUAGAGGCGGGGUUUCACUGUGUCGGCCAGACUGGUCUCAAACUCCUGACCUGGUGAUCUGUCCACCUCAGCCUCCCAAAAUGCUCAUAUUGUACUUUUCUAGUGUUUCCUCAUGAUGAGAUUCAGGUUACGCAUUCUUGGCCAGAAUACUACAUAAGUAGUUUGUAUUCUUCUUAAGAGAGUUGGAUUUAGAGAGACAUAAUGGUCAUCUGCCCCUCAGUUUUCAUCCUCAACCAAGAUGAUUGAUUUUUUCACUGUGUAGUUACUGUCAUUUUCUUUACCACAAAUAAGUGGGAAGUACUUUAAGACCAUGCAAACAUUCAUGUUUUCCAUCAGUAUUUCCCUCCUGGAUUUGAGGUCUAUUGAUUCUCGCCUGAACCAUCUUUACUACAGUGGUUAUAGAGUGAUGGUUUUCACCACCACUCAUUCCACACUACAGGCAGCACUUAUCAUUUUGCUGUAAGCAAGGGACUUUCUUUUUCUUCUUUUUAUUUACUUGUCUUUUUUCUUUUGUUUUUGUUUUUGUUUUUUUGGGAGAUGGAGUCUCACUCUAUUACCCAGGCUGGAGUGCACAGAGUGCAGUGCUGCGAUUUUGGCUCACUCCAACCUCUGCCUCCCGGGUUCAAGCGAUUCUCCUGCCUCAGCCUCCCAAGUAGCUGAGAUUACAGGCACCCACCACCACUCCUGGCUAAUUUUUGUAUUUUUAGUAGAGACAGGGUUUCACCAUGUUGGCCAGGCUGGUCUUGAACUCCUGACCUCAGGUGAUGCGCCCACCUCGGCCUCCCAAAGUGCUGGGAUUACAGAUGUGAGCCACCACACCUGGCUGUCUUUUCAUUAUUGGUGUGAACUCAUGAGUUCUCAUAUUUUCCAUAGUUUAUCAUUCAUUACUAUUCUCACUGUUUUCAUACUUGAAUUGUCCCAAAUUUGGCCCAUGAGAGCCCCCUCAGUUGAUGCUUUUGUAUGCUUCUAUCAUUUUGGGAGAUUAUUUCCUUACUUUCUAGAAUAACAAGAUGUUCCGGGUUUACUGUGUACCUAUCCUGCCUUAAUUCUAGAAUCAGCUCUUUCUCCAACAAGCUUUGGUUCUUCUUAGUGGCGCAUGAUAUGUAUUAGAGACCAAGAUACGGGCACUAGGUAUGGGCAUUAUUACUGGGAUGUCUUUGUUUCUGGGCCCUUUAAGUAGACAGAGGUAGAAAAUACAUGCAUGUAUAAAUACAUAUACUGACACCCUAGUAUACACAUAUACAAGUGUUUUCUCAGUCUUGGCACGAUUGACAUUUUGGGCCAAAUAAUUCCUUAUUGUGGGGUCAGUCUUGUAUAGUUUUGGUUGUUAGCAACAUCUCUGGCUUCCACCCACUAGAUGCUACAAAGAAAAUUAUCUCCAGACAUUGCCAGUGUCACCAGUUGAAAACUACUGAUAAGUACCUACAUGUCCACAUACUUAACUUUAGAAAUCAUUAGGCUACAGUGAUGCUUCUAAUUCUGGUCUGUCCCCACAGAAUUCUUUAUCUUCUCUCAUACCAUUUAUUUGUAUCCCUCUUCUUCUAUAGUGAGAACUCUGACUCCCAAUAAUAUCAAUAGAUUGAUUCACUUCCUCAAUUCUGUAAUAUAGGAUGAGCAGCCCAAGUCCAGAAAUCCAAAAUGCUUCAAAAUCUGAAACUUUUUGAGUGCCAACAUGACACUACAAGUGGACAGUUCCACACCUGACUGACCCCAUGUGACAAGUUGCAAAUGUUAUUUAAAAUUUUGUAUAGAAUUACCUUCAUUAGAACUUGGGGAUAAGUGUUC